GACGUAGGGCGCGAGCGUUGUCCGGAUUUAUUGGGCGUAAAGAGCUCGUAGGCGGCUUGUCGCGUCGUCCGUGAAAACUCACAGCUCAACUGUGAGCUUGCGGUCGAUACGGGCAGGCUAGAGUUCGGUGGGGGAGACUGGAAUUCCUGGUGUAGCGGUGAAAUGCGCAGAUAUCAGGAGGAACACCGGUGGCGAAGGCGGGUCUCUGGGCAUCUCCUGACGCUGAGGCGCGAAAGCGUGGGGAGCAAACGGG
rnacentral:rRNA from 1 species